rfam:Shewanella sp. YQH10 contig11, whole genome shotgun sequence.
ACCUUCGGCUGAGUUAGUGAUCGGCUGGAGUUUAAUUUAGAUUAUUUUGGAGAAACUCAUGUCACUAAGUACUGAACAAAAAGCAGAAAUUCUGGCGAAAUUUGGCCGUGGCGAA